rnacentral:rRNA from 1 species
UACGUAGGGGGCAAGCGUUAUCCGGAAUGAUUGGGCGUAAAGGGUGCGUAGGCGGCCUGCUAAGUCUGGAGUGAAAGGUACCGGCUCAACCGGUACAGGCUCUGGAAACUGGCGGGCUAGAGAGCAGGAGAGGGCGGUGGAACUCCAUGUGUAGCGGUAAAAUGCGUAGAUAUAUGGAAGAACACCAGUGGCGAAGGCGGCCGCCUGGCCUGUUACUGACGCUGAGGCACGAAAGCGUGGGGAGCAAAUAGGG